UACGUAGGGUGCAAGCGUUGUCCGGAAUUAUUGGGCGUAAAGAGCUCGUAGGCGGUCUGUCGCGUCGGCUGUGAAAACUCGGGGCUCAACCCCGAGCCUGCAGUCGAUACGGGCAGACUAGAGUGCUGUAGGGGAGACUGGAAUUCCUGGUGUAGCGGUGAAAUGCGCAGAUAUCAGGAGGAACACCGGUGGCGAAGGCGGCCUUCUGGACAGUGACUGACGCUGAGACGCGAAAGCGUGGGGAGCAAACAGG
rnacentral:rRNA from 1 species